rnacentral:rRNA from 1 species
GAUGAACGCUGGCGGCGUGCCUAAUACAUGCAAGUCGAGCGAACAGACGAGGAGCUUGCUCCUCUGACGUUAGCGGCGGACGGGUGAGUAACACGUGGAUAACCUACCUAUAAGACUGGGAUAACUUCGGGAAACCGGAGCUAAUACCUGAUAAUAUAUUGAACCGCAUGGUUCAAUAGUGAAAGACGGUUUUGCUGUCACUUAUAGAUGGAUCCGCGCCGCAUUAGCUAGUUGGUAAGGUAACGGCUUACCAAGGCGACGAUGCGUAGCCGACCUGAGAGAGUGAUCGGCCACACUGGAACUGAGACACGGUCCAGACUCCGACGGGAGGCAGCAGUAGGGAAUCUUCCGCAAUGGGCGAAAGCCUGACGGAGCAACGCCGCGUGAGUGAUGAAGGUCUUCGGAUCGUAAAACUCUGUUAUUAGGGAAGAACAAAUGUGUAAGUAACUAUGCACGUCUUGACGGUACCUAAUCAGAAAGCCACGGCUAACUACGUG